UACGUAGGGCGCAAGCGUUGUCCGGAAUUAUUGGGCGUAAAGAGCUCGUAGGCGGUCUGUUACGUCCGCUGUGAAAACCCAGGGCUUAACCCUGAGCUUGCGGUCGAUACGGGCAUGACUGGAGUUCGGUAGGGGAGACUGGAAUUCCUGGUGUAGCGGUGAAAUGCGCAGAUAUCAGGAGGAACACCGGUGGCGAAGGCGGGUCUCUGGGCCGAUACUGACGCUGAGGAGCGAGAGCGUGGGGAGCGAACAGG
rnacentral:rRNA from 1 species